GACAGAGGGGGCGAGCGUUAUCCGGGAACACCGGGCGUAAAGCGCGCGCCGGCGGGAACCUAAGUGGCGUGUGAAAGCCCCCGGCUCAACCGGGGGAGGCCAUGGCAAACUGGGUCGCUCGAGCUGCGGAGAGGCCCCUCGAAUUGCCGGUGUAGCGGUGAAAUGCGUAGAGAUCGGCAGGAAGACCAAGGGGGAAGCCAGGGGGCUGGCCGCAGGCUGACGCUGAGGCGCGACAGCGUGGGGAGCAAACCGG
rnacentral:rRNA from 1 species